GUUGUUGUGGCCAAGUGGUUAAGGCGAUGGACUCGAAAUCCAUUGGGUUUUCAGUUCAAAUCCUGCCGAUAACG